rnacentral:misc_RNA from 1 species
UGGGAUAAAGGUUUAGUUGAGUUAGUUGAGGGUUAUAUUAGUUGCAUUAGAUGUUUAGCAUCUGUGAGGUCAGACAGUGAUCGGUCUUGACAAAUUAUGGAAACAAGUAAACCCUAACAAAAGAAGUCAGUCCAUGUGUUUGUGUCCAUCUGAUAUUCAUUCAAUUAACAUUUUACACCAUAUACAUAUAUCACUUUGUUUACGGCGAAAAUAUGAUACUUUAACUUAGCAUCUAAAAGAGCUCCCUCCCUUUUUGCUUCUUUUGGCUGGAAUUAAUACAUCCUAGGUGGAACAAGCCAAGGGCAUCAAUUAUGCUUAGUACCAUUAACAACUUUAUGUUGUAAAUAAGCAAUUAAGGAAAAUCCCAAUGUCAUGCAACAUCCACUAACACUUAAUCCAAUCUCUUGUAAAUCUCUGUACCAUCAAGGAAAAUUUUUCAAGACAAAAGGCGGCUAUUUGAAGGAAGGAAGCUGAAAGCAUUACCUUUCCCCCCCUCAUUUUUUUUUUAUAAUGGCUUAUAAACAUAUGAGCUUUAGAGGAUCAAGCUCAAAAAAUAUAUUGUAAGUGUUCAUAUUUCUUACUUCACAUAGAAAGAAUUUCUAAUCUACCAACAUGUAUACGUAUGAAAUUAUUCUUCCCCGACAGGGCACAAAACAAAGGGCAUAUAUCAUUACUCAACAUUUCUGCAUUUUAUGUUAAAAUCAUGGUUACUUAUAAGGCAACUAACAAUAAUUGGCAUUCACAUACAAAGGAGUCACCAAUAUGUAAAGAGUUAAUUGGUUGAGACUUGGCCACCCACAACUUUUCAUCAGCUUGCUGGUGAUCUUCGAUCAUGGCCCAACAUAAACAGCUUAUUGUCAAUCCAUAUGAAUUUUUUAUCAUUGAUAAUGCCAAAGUAUCAAAACAAAAGAGAACUGGGCAGUGGGGGCUUCUUGUUUGUGGCUUAUAUCGUUUAAUUUUGAGAGAUAAUGUGUAAGUUGCCAAUUUGGGUCGGAGAAAAAAAAACAUUUUCUAAAGGAAUAUAUUCUCAUCAUUUGAGUUAUCAACGCUGUGUGACCUUAUUCGUGUUUCACCCAUUAUAUAAAACUUGAAAUGUAUUGUCAGGGUUGAGUAACGCAAGUAAGCUAGGAUUUUAGGAUUUUCUUUAUGUUUUUUUCUUUUUUCUUUUUUCUUCUCUCUCCUCGCCUGCUAAGUAAGUCUCUCUUCCCCUGUUUUUGAAAGACGGCCAUGUUUUGGGGGAGAGGUCAUCAUCUCUCCAACGGUGAGGCUGAGAGCUCAUAUAACCAAGAAAAUCCGGAACAGAAAAUAGUUUUGUCUCACAAGGGGAUUGAUUUUCUCAAGGAGUCGAAGAUGGGUCUUGAUGGGUUUGCCUCAAAACCUCAAGAGCUUACUCUUAGCUACCUUUGUGAAAAUCCUAAACUGGGUUUUAAUCAAAAGGGCAAAGAAGUGAUCUUUUCAGAGAAUUCAAAUCAAGAUGAGAGAUGGGUGGAGAGAGAUUUCAUGAAUCUGGAAGAAACCAAGUCCAAUUCUUCUUCAAAGAGGGAGGUUCACGAAGACGAAGAUAAUGAGAGGGAGAACUCCUCUAGAGAAAAGAAGCCAAAGCUGGAAAGUACUUUAAAUCUUUCUCUAGCUUUGCCUGAUGUCUCUCUCUCUCUAACUGCAUCAAAUGCAUUGCAAAAUGCUGAGCCUGUGAUUAAGCCAAAGCCUAGCAGGAGCAUACAGUCCUUAGGUGCCGCACCAUCUAACAACAACACACAGACAACCUGUUCUAACGAUUUCACUGCUGCUUCACUUUCUUACUCUUAUUCUCACCCAUUUUCACACAAUCCUAGUUGCUCCUUGACCCGUAAUACAACUGAGAAUUAUGAUUAUUCUGUAGGGAGAGAUGAUCAAAUUUGGUGUGGAGGGGAAGGGACUAAUGGAUCGGUUCAUAGCCGAUUUAGGCCUAAUGGAGAUGGGCUUGUUGCUUUGAACAAUAACAAUCAUGGCGGUGGUGGUAAUGGAGGAUUUUCCAUGAUGCAGGGUCAUCGUGUAACUAAUAAGGAUUCGUGUAAUAAUAGUCUUUAUAGAACCACUAGUUCUGACAACCUUUCAUUUUUCCCAUCUGAAUUGCCAGCUUGGCCACGUCUGGAAGCUUAUUCAGGUGAUUCGAGGAGAAGGGAUUCAGAGAAUAUGAUAGCUGUGGCGGGUGUAGAUGGAGGAGGGAAGGCAAGAAAGCUCUCUAGACCGGAGAAAAUUCUCCAUGAAAUUGUAUGGGAGUCUAUUCCUGUUAUGGCUCAGAUAAUUCAGGAGCUGGCCGAAGAAACAUUAGAAUCGACCAAGGAGUACUUAAAGAAUCUUAUUGGGAUGCCUGAAAAGAGAGAAGAGUUAGUAGGUCUUCAAAACCGGCUUGAGAGAAGGUCUGAUCUUUCUAAGGAGGCUCUCUUGAAAUGUCAAAAGGAUCAGUUAGAGAUUUUGGUUGCAGUGAGAAUGGGGCUGGGAAGUUUUAUAUCUGGGAAAGUUCGGGUUCCUGCAAAUGAAUUGGUGGAAAUUUUCUUGUAUAUGAGGUGUAGGAAUGUGAAUUGCAAGAGCAUACUGCCUGUUGAUGAUUGUGACUGUAAGUUUUGCAGUGCAAACAAGGGAUUUUGCAGCUCUUGCAUGUGUCCAGUCUGUAUGAAUUUUGACUGUGCUAACAAUACUUGCAGUUGGGUUGGGUGUGAUGUUUGUUCCCAUUGGUGUCAUGCUGCCUGUGGUAUUCAGAAAAAUCUCAUUAGACCAGGUCCUAGCUUGAAGGGGCCAAAGGGGACUACAGAGAUGCAAUUUCACUGCAUUGGCUGUAAUCAUGCUUCAGAAAUGUUUGGCUUUGUCAAGGAUGUGUUUGUGUGCUGUGCAAAGGAUUGGGGUCUAGAAACCCUAGUCAGAGAACUUGACUGUGUGAGGAAGAUUUUCAAAGGAAGUGAUGAUUUUAAAGGCAAGGAAUUGCAUAUUAAGGCUGAGGCGUUGCUCUCCAAGCUUGAGAGUAAAAUUCUCUCUCCUUCGGAUGCCUGUAACAUCAUCAUUCAGUUCUUCAACUAUGCAGAUGGUAUUUCCGAUUUUCCUGCUUCUGGUGUAUCUGCUAAAGAAUUGAUGCCAACUGAAGUUAGUCUUAGAAAAGAUGAUGCACCUAUACUGCCAUCCACUUCUCUCCCUCAAAAAUAUGCCCUCUACAAUAUGAGCUCUUCAAGUGGCCGGUGUGAUUCACGAUCAAACGAUAUCCACCAAAAUGAACUCAGAGCUGCACUCCUUGGUGACUUAAAAAUCAAUGAUGAGUUCCAGUUUGGAAAGCUAUCAAAGAAGGAUGGUCUCGGUAGCUUAGAAAGCAUUGUACGGAUUAAAGAAGCAGAAGCCAGAAUGUUCCAGAGCAAGGCAGAUGAAGCACGAAGAGACGCAGAAAGCUACCUGCAGAUGAUUCGGGCGAGGUCUGAGAAGUUGGAAGAAGAGUAUGCAGAGAAGCUCGCCAAACUGUGUUUGCAGGAGACUGAGGAAAGGCGGAGGAAAAAAUUAGAAGACCUGAAGAGUUUAGAAAAUUCACAUUGCGAUUACUACAACAUGAAGCUAAGAAUGCAAGCUGAGAUUGCUGGUUUGCUGGAGAGAAUGGAGACCACAAAGCAGCAAUGGGUGUAAUUUAAUCCUGUUUUCCCCUUCCUUUUUUUUUUUAUUUAUUUUGUUGACAGAGAUUAACAUGCAGUGUGUAACUUGUUUACAUCUUCACCAACCAUUGACUUAAGAGUGUUUCUUCAAAUGCUAAGAAUAACCAGAGAAAAAAUUUUUUGUUCUUUGUAUAGUUCAAUUUGUU